rnacentral:rRNA from 1 species
ACGUUAGCGGCGGACGGGUGAGUAACACGCGGGUAACCUACCUAUAAGACUGGGAUAACUUCGGGAAACCGGAGCUAAUACCGGAUAAUAUUUCGAACCGCAUGGUUCGAUAGUGAAAGAUGGUUUUGCUAUCACUUAUAGAUGGACCCGCGCCGUAUUAGCUAGUUGGUAAGGUAACGGCUUACCAAGGCGACGAUACGUAGCCGACCUGAGAGGGUGAUCGGCCACACUGGAACUGAGACACGGUCCAGACUCCUACGGGAGGCAGCAGCU